rnacentral:rRNA from 1 species
AUUGAACGCUGGCGGCAGGCUUAACACAUGCAAGUCGAUCGGGGGAAGGUAGCUUGCUACUGGACCUAGUGGCGGACGGGUGAGUAAUGCUUAGGAAUCUGCCUAUUAGUGGGGGACAACAUCUCGAAAGGGAUGCUAAUACCGCAUACGUCCUACGGGAGAAAGCAGGGGAUCUUCGGACCUUGCGCUAAUAGAUGAGCCUAAGUCGGAUUAGCUAGUUGGUGGGGUAAAGGCCUACCAAGGCGAAGAUCUGUAGCGGGUCUGAGAGGAUGAUCCGCCACACUGGGGCUGGGGCACGGCCCAGACUCCUACGGGAGGCAGCAGUGGGGAAUAUUGGACAAUGGGGGGAACCCUGAUCCAGCCAUGCCGCGUGUGUGAAGAAGGCCUUAUGGUUGUAAAGCACUUUAAGCGAGGAGGAGGCUACUCUAGUUAAUACCUAGGGAUAGUGGACGUUACUCGCAGAAUAAGCACCGGCUAACUCUGUGCCAGCCGCCGCAGUAA